UUCGGCGUCGGCAAGGCAACUCUCUUAGUCUGUCUCUCUCACACAUUCCGAGUCCGAGAGUCCGCUGAGCUGGCCGGCCGGACCUCAUUUUCAGCAGAGAGAGCUCCGCCCGCCCUUCCCCUCAGCUGCUGUUCCACUUCCUGGGGCUUGCUUUAGUUUCUCCCCCACUGUGGGAUUGAGCUGCUGGGUAGCUGCGAAGGAGGGCAAUCUCUGAAGACAUGGCGUAUUCUCCGUGAAUGGCAAGUCCCACCUGAACCAAGCCAACCUCCCUCUGAGAAUUCCAGUUGCUUACCUGCGCUAGAAAAAAAUCCAGGGUGAAAAGAAGCUGGACAGCCUCAACAAUUUAAAACAUGAUAGAUUCUACAGAACAGUCUUUAAUAUGAGAGAAUGAAAAUGCCUACAUUUGUUUAAAAUGUUAAAGUCCUUUCAAUGACAAUAUUUUUAAGAUGUUCACAUUUUAUGUUUUAGUAUUCCAGUACUGUUGGUUCAUUGUUUGGUACUACAGCUUUAUCAGCAGAAUGUGCAGCAGAUGGCCUGCAUUUGCAUUAGCCUUCUGGAAAAGGAAUCUACUUCUACCAACAUAAGCUGUAAGCUUUACUUUGCAAGCUUAUAAAGAAUUGGUCAGAACAACAUAUUUCUUUAAAAAGUUAGUCCAGUUCUCGCAGACCCUCCAUUUUGCAAAGAAGAAGCUAGUCACACACCAGCUGUGUCAUCUGCACAUGCAUUUAGUUCCAAAAGUGUUUGUUAAGAUUAUUUAGGUUUCUUUCAUUACACUCUAAGACUUUAAAAGACCUUCCUUUUUUGUCCUCUGGCAGUAGUUAAUUUCGUUUGUCACUUGUUAUAGAGUGGAGCUAUGUGGAGCUAAAAUAUAUUAUUUGCUCUAGUC